rnacentral:lncRNA from 1 species
CUCCUGGUGAAGGGGCCCCCACCUCACCUACCCCCCCCACAGAGGGAGCCCCUCCUGGUGAAGGGGGCUCCCCUUUCUGAUGUGAUGGCUUCUUGGUGGCAGUGUUGCUGGUCCUGGGCUGGAAGGGAGGAGCUGAGUUCUGUGCUCUGCAGGAGGAGAAAGUUCAGUUUAUUACAAAGCUCAAGUAGAACUUUUUUUGCUAUGACUCUGUAUCUGUAGCUUAAGAGGGUGCUUGAUGUGUGUAGUGGUUUACUGUGCCUGAAGGUUACAGUAAAAAGGGUUUGGGUAAGUGGCUGGAGGUGAAAUGUGCCUGUGGAGUUGCAUAUAAGGCUGUGUUCCUAACUAACAACCUAAAUAGGAUGAGAUGGUUAAGAAGGAGGGAAGUUGCCUUUCUCUGACUUUCUUGCCUAUUCCUCUUAGGAGAAAAAAUGGUCUAAGAAAAUGGAAAUGCUUAUAAAACUUCUCUGGAGAGGUCUGUACAAGGCCAACUUGGUUUUCUGCAUCUAUAGUUUAAAAUGUUAUCUGGACAGAGACUUUUCCCUCAGUAUUUAACACUGCUUCUCACAAAGUGAGCUCAAUCAAAUUGGACAGACAACUUAACUUAGAAGUUUCUAAAUUCAAACAAUGAACAACUAGGUCUCCC